AACGUAGGACACAAGCGUUAUCCGGAGUUACUGGGCGUAAAGGGCGUGUAGGCAGAUCGGUAAGUCUACUCUGAAAGCUCCUGGCUAAACUGGGAGAGGCGAGUGGAGACUGUCGGUCUAGAGUGAGGAAGAGGAAAGUGGAAUUCCGCGUGUAGUGGUGAAAUGCGUAGAGAUGCGGAGGAACACCAGUGGCGAAAGCGGCUUUCUGGUCCUUAACUGACGCUGAGGCGCGAAAGCAUGGGGAGCGAACGGG
rnacentral:rRNA from 1 species